rnacentral:rRNA from 1 species
AAUACCGCAUACGACCUACGGGUGAAAGCAGGGGAUCUUCGGACCUUGCGCGAUUGAAUGAGCCGAUGUCGGAUUAGCUAGUUGGCGGGGUAAAGGCCCACCAAGGCGACGAUCCGUAGCUGGUCUGAGAGGAUGAUCAGCCACACUGGAACUGAGACACGGUCCAGACUCCUACGGGAGGCAGCAGUGGGGAAUAUUGGACAAUGGGCGCAAGCCUGAUCCAGCCAUACCGCGUGGGUGAAGAAGGCCUUCGGGUUGUAAAGCCCUUUUGUUGGGAAAGAAAU